rnacentral:rRNA from 1 species
UACGGGGGGAGCAAGCGUUGUUCGGAUUUACUGGGCGUAAAGGGCGCGUAGGCGGCCUCUGCAAGUCGGCUGUGAAAUCUCCGGGCUUAACCCGGAAAGGUCAGCCGAUACUGCAGGGCUAGAGUGCAGAAGGGGCAACUGGAAUUCUCGGUGUAGCGGUGAAAUGCGUAGAUAUCGAGAGGAACACCUGCGGCGAAGGCGGGUUGCUGGGCUGACACUGACGCUGAGGCGCGAAAGCUAGGGGAGCGAACGGG